UACAGGGGGGGCAAGCGUUGUUCGGAAUUACUGGGCGUAAAGGGCUCGUAGGCGGCCAACUAAGUCACACGUGAAAUCCCCAGGCUUAACCUGGGAACUGCGUGUGAUACUGGAUGGCUUGAAUCCGGGAGAGGGAUGCAGAAUUCCAGGUGUAGCGGUGAAAUGCGUAGAUAUCGGGAGGAGCACCGGUGGCGAAGGCGGUUCUCUGGGCCUGUACUGACGCUGGAGGAGCGAAAGCGUGGGGAGCGAACAGG
rnacentral:rRNA from 1 species